rnacentral:lncRNA from 1 species
GGGGUUGGAUGAAAGUAAGUAAACAUCUCUCAUCGUGAAGCAUUCGACACUGCACAUUAAUUUGGAUAGAGAAGAUUAAUAAUAGUAACUAAGGUACAUUGCACAAUAAGCAGAAGCACAAAAAUGGAGUAAUCAUUUGUGGCAAUCUCAGAAUAGAGGGUCUUCUAUAAAGAGAGUAAACAUAGGCAAACUUAGAGAAAUGGUUGUAAUUUGGGAGCAUAAAGGCUGAUAUGGUAGGUGCAGAUAACAUAAAAAUAUAUUCAUUUAGUUUUCAUAAAAAUAUACAGACCUUCUAGCCCGCAUGGUUGGCCUAUUAUUCUCAUUUUUAUAGUCAUCUAAUACUCCCUCCAUUCAAAAAUAUAAUAUGUUUUGGAGAUUUCAAUAUGGACUACAUAAAAACUGAAAUGAGUGAAAACACACACUAAAAUGCAUCUAUAUACAUCAGAAUCAAAAAAAUGGUAAACCAUCAAGGGAGUACUUACUAAUUGGAAUCAUUUUGGUCUCUCUUUCCCUAGAUGAAGACCACUGAGCAAUUAUCCUGGAAUACAUUUUCUUGAGGAAUCACCAUGGCCGACUCAUCCCAUUAUUAAUUGUGUACGUCUUGAUUAAAGAAUAGACUAUGCAAAGGAAAUAUGCAGAUCGUUGGUAAUGGUUAUAGAAAUUGUAUAAUUUCAUUUAAUAAUUUACGAUUGGUGAUAAAAACACAGAGGUUUAUAAUAUGGAGGUGG